AUGUUUCCUUCAGCAGCAUACACAGAAAAAUCAGAAUGAUAUGGAGAUUAGCAGGGCCCAUGCAAAAAGGACAAAACACAAAUUCAUUAAGCAUUCCAUAGUUUU